rnacentral:rRNA from 1 species
CCUACGGGGGGCUGCAGUCGAGAAUCAUUCACAAUGGGGGAAACCCUGAUGCAGCAACGCCGCGUGAGUGAUGACGGCCUUCGGGUUGUAAAGCUCUUUCUUCAGGGACGAUAAUGACGGUACCUGCGGAGGAAGCCACGGCUAACUACGUGCCAGCAGCCGCGGUAAUACGUAGUUGGCGAGCGUUGUCCGGAUUUACUGGGCGUAAAGGGAGCGUAGGCGGACUUGUAAGUGAGAUGUGAAAUACUCGGGCUCAACUUGAGUGCUGCAUUUCAGACUGGAAGUCUAGAGUGCAGGAGAGGAGAAUGGAAUUCCUAGUGUAGCGGUGAAAUGCGUAGAGAUUAGGAAGAACACCAGUGGCGAAGGCGAUUCUCUGGACUGUAACUGACGCUGAGGCGCGAAAGCGUGGGGAGCAAACAGGAUUAGAUACCCGAGUAGUC